CCUACGGGUGGCAGCAGUGGGGGAUAUUGCACAAUGGGGGGAACCCUGAUGCAGCGACGCCGCGUGGGUGAAGAAGCGCCUCGGCGCGUAAAGCCCUGUUAGCAGGGAAGAAAAUGACGGUAACUGAAGAAGAAGCCCCGGCUACCUACGUGCCAGCAGCCGCGGUAAUACGUCGGGGGCACGCGUUGUCCGGAUUUACUGGGUGGAAAGGGGGCGCAGACGGCGGUGCAAGCCAGGAGUGAAAGCCGGUGGCUCAACCCCGGGACUGCUCUGGGAACUGGGGGGCUGGAGUGCAGGAGGGGAAGGCGGAAUUCCUGGUGUAGCGGUGAAAUGCGUAGAUAUCAGGAGGAACACUGGUGGCGAAGGCGGCCUGCUGGACUGCAACUGACGUUGAGGCCCGAAAGCGUGGGGAGCAAACAGGAUUAGAUACCCCAGUAGUC
rnacentral:rRNA from 1 species